rnacentral:rRNA from 1 species
AGUGAACGCUGGCGGUAGGCCUAACACAUGCAAGUCGAACGGCAGCACAGUAAGAGCUUGCUCUUACGGGUGGCGAGUGGCGGACGGGUGAGGAAUACAUCGGAAUCUACUUUUUCGUGGGGGAUAACGUAGGGAAACUUACGCUAAUACCGCAUACGACCUACGGGUGAAAGCAGGGGAUCUUCGGACCUUGCGCGAUUGAAUGAGCCGAUGUCGGAUUAGCUAGUUGGCGGGGUAAAGGCCCACCAAGGCGACGAUCCGUAGCUGGUCUGAGAGGAUGAUCAGCCACACUGGAACUGGGACACGGCCCAGACCCCUACGGGAGGCAGCAGUGGGGAAUAUUGGACAAUGGGCGCAAGCCUGAUCCAGCCAUACCGCGUGGGUGAAGAAGGCCUUCGGGUUGUAAAGCCCUUUUGUUGGGAAAGAAAAGCAGCAGGUUAAUACCCCGCUGUUCUGACGGUACCCAAAGAAUAAGCACCGGCUAACUUCGU